GGGGGCGUAGCUCAGAGGGAGAGCGGCUGCUUUGCACGCAGCAGGUCGGCGGUUCGAAUCCGCCCGCCUCCA
rnacentral:tRNA from 1 species